AUAUAUUGAUAUAUUUGACUUUGCUGUGAUUUAUUGUUUGAUUUUAAUCACUCUGCCACUCUUUCUCUAUCCAGGUUGAGCAUCCUAGGGUGCCUAGCAAUGAAAUCCUCCACUAUGACCUUGUCCUUACCCCAGCACUCACCUGGUGGUCAGGUUGGAGGUCACAUCGGCCUGGGUGGUCAUGGCAAAAUCUGGAUAGCAGAGCGUUGAGUUUGGUCUGGAAGCAUUUGCUGUCACAGCUCCAUGGUGCAGGACCAUCAGUCUAAGAACAUCUUGCAGAGCGAUCCUUUGAUGCCAAUUGAAGAAAUCAAACACCAAUCCCCAACCCCAAACACAGCCUGUUGUAGCAGCUGUUACCAUAUUGACCCAGGUCAACCCUAAGAAGCUUGGAUACAGAUACUGUUUUAUAAAUGCUAGUCUCUUCGUACUUCGUGGUCUGUUAAGCUCUAACUCUAACAAGUCUCUUCUUUGAAUUGUGUGGCGGAUGGACAAUGAAUUACCUUGUUCAGAUUGAAAUGGCAGAAUGACAAAUUACAACAAUUUCAGUGGAAAGCCAGAAAGUCAUGUGGCCAGCCACGUUUUUUAUUUGACCAGUCAAGGUGUGUUAUGUGACCAGUCAAGGUGUGUUAUUUGACCAGUCAUGGUGUGUUAUGUGACCAGUCAAGGUGUGUUAUGUGGCCAGUCAAGGUGUCUUAUGUGACCAGUCAAGGUGUGUUAUGUGACCAGUCAAGGUGUGUUAUGUGACCAGCCAAGAUGUGUUCAAAGAAAAACAUUAUUACAUGUAUCAUGAGAACUAUGAUGCUGUCAGUCAUUUAAUGUUAAAGGCUUUGGUUAAAUAUAGUAUGUAAAGUUGUAUUAUAAGCACACAUAUUACUUCAUCUGUAUUAUGAAACUUUCACUACAGAUUUUGAUACUGAUUAUGACAAAUGCAUGGGAAAAAAUACCCUAGAUUUUUUGUAAAUGAUUUUAAGAUUGUCAAAUCUGUUCAAAUGAUGCAGGUCACUUGAGCAAAAUUGGGGAAAAGGCAUUAAUUGCAUGUAAUAAGGCAGUUUCAGGUUUAUAAGCUUUUACAAGUAAUAAAAAUGUGCUUUUUAAAAGAAUUGUUCAGAAAGGUUGAAUUUUUAACGCUUCAGUUUUGAUCGGUCUAUUAAUUUUCUGAAUACAAUACUCAACAGUUAACUCUAUCAGGUCGCUUUUUUAUCGAGAAUCUUGCUUAUUGUCGUACUUUUUCAAGAGAAUAUUUACAAAUUGUUGGCAAAAUUGUCAAUUCUGUAUUUACUACCAUUACUUUGUUGAAUUGAAUGGAUAUGGUUUGUUACUGAAGUAGAAAAUGACCCUUGCGUUAUUUGAGAUCCUUUAAAUGAAAAUGAGAAAUUAAACAAAGAGUUAAUAAAUUAGUGUUAUGAAUCGUUGCAAACGUUAUUAUUGUUAAUUUGUGUUCAUAGAUCAUAUGCUUGCAUACUCAUAAGGGUUCACAUUCGUUUUUGGAUAAUAUAACUUAUUAUGCUUUAUAUUUUUGUAUACACAUUUAGAGCACCAGAUUGUAUCAUCUUGAAUCAGUGAGUAACUUAACCUAAAUUUCUUGAUCACUGUAUGUGGGUAUAUUAUGCCAUCUAUAUAUAGAUCACCUGCAAACAAUUGUAUCUUUGAUGUAAAUUUUUCAUUUAUUUUCGUCAUGUUUAUU